rnacentral:rRNA from 1 species
GAUGAACGCUGGCGGCGUGCCUAAUACAUGCAAGUCGAGCGAACAGACGAGGAGCUUGCUCCUCUGACGUUAGCGGCGGACGGGUGAGUAACACGUGGAUAACCUACCUAUAAGACCGGGAUAACUUCGGGAAACCGGAGCUAAUACCGGAUAAUAUAUUGAACCGCAUGGUUCAAUAGUGAAAGACGGUUUUGCUGUCACUUAUAGAUGGAUCCGCGCCGCAUUAGCUAGUUGGUAAGGUAACGGCUUACCAAGGCAACGAUGCGUAGCCGACCUGAGAGGGUGAUCGGCCACACUGGAACUGAGACACGGUCCAGACUCCUACGGGAGGCAGCAGUAGGGAAUCUUCCGCAAUGGGCGAAAGCCUGACGGAGCAACGCCGCGUGAGUGAUGAAGGUCUUCGGAUCGUAAAACUCUGUUAUUAGGGAAGAACAAAUGUGUAAGCAACUAUGCACGUCUUGACGGUACCUAAUCAGAAAGCCACGGCUAACUACGUG